GUCCCUCUUAGAACAGCACAUAUGCUAAAAUUGGAAAGAGACAGAGAUUAGCUGGCCCCUGCCCAAGGAUGACACGCAAAUUCAUGAAGCGUAAGAAAAAGGA
ensembl:snRNA U6 U6 spliceosomal RNA